GGUGCGCCUAACACAUGCAAGUCGAGCGGUAGAUUUUUUUAGCUUGCUAGAAAAAUUGAGAGCGGCGAACGGGUGAGUAACACGUUGGUAUCUACCCCUAAGUCAGGGAUAGCCUAGGGAAACCUAGAUUAAUACCGGAUAGUCUCUUUGGAGUAAAAGAAAUGCUUAGGGAGGAGCCUGCGGUCUAUCAGCUUGUUGGUAAGGUAAUAGCUUACCAAGGCUAUGACGGAUAACUGGUCUGAGAGGAUGAUCAGUCACAAUGGAACUGAGACACGGUCCAUACUCCUACGGGAGGCAGCAGUGAGGAAUCUUCCACAAUGGGCGAAAGCCUGAUGGAGCGACACCGCGUGAAGGAUGAAGGCCUAACGGUUGUAAACUUCUUCUCUGAAGGAGCAUAAUGAGAGUACUUCAGGAAUAAGGGACGGCUAAUCACGUGCCAGCAGCCGCGGUAAUACGUGAGUCUCAAGCGUUAUCCGGAAUUACUGGGUGUAAAGGGUCUGUAGGUGGAAAAAUAAGUUAGGUAUGAAAGACCGAAGCUCAACUUCGUGUUUGUAUUUAAAACUGUUUUUCUUGAAUCAGGGAUAGGUAAGUGGAAUUCUAAGUGUAGGGGUGCAAUCUGUAGAUACUUAGAAGAACACCAAAAGCGAAGGCAACUUACUGGAACUCGAUUGACACUGAUAGACGAAAGCAUGGGGAGCGAAAAGGAUUAGAUACCCUUGUAGUCCAUGCCCUAAACGAUGAUAACUAAGUGUUGCUUAUUGAAGCAGUGCUGUAGCUAACGCGUUAAGUUAUCCACCUGAGGAGUACGGUCGCAAGAUUAAAACUCAAAGGAAUAGACGGGGACCCACACAAGCAGUGGAUCACGUGGUUUAAUUCGAUAAUAAACGGGGAAUCUUACCCAGACUUGACAUCCUAGGAAUUUUUUAGAAAUAAAAAAGUGCCUUUAUUGGAACCUAGUGACAGGUGCUGCAUGGUUGUCGUCAGCUCGUGCCUUGAGGUGUUCGGUUAAGUCCGUUAACGAGCGCAACCCAUAUCUCUAGUUACUAUGUCUAGAGAGACUGCCUUGGUUAACAAGGAGGAAGGUGUGGAUGACGUCAAAUCAGCAUGGCUUUUACGUCUGGGGCUACACACAUGAUACAAUGGUAUAUACAAAGAGUAGCUAAAUGGUAACAUUAUGCAAAUCUCUUAAAAUAUAUCUAAGUCCGGAUUGAGGUCUGAAACUCGACCUCAUGAAGUUGGAAUUGCUAGUAAUCGUAAAUCAGAUAUGUUACGGUGAAUGUGUUCCUGGGUCUUGUACUCACCGCCCGUCACGGCAUGGGAG
rnacentral:rRNA from 1 species